UACAGAGGGUGCGAGCGUUGUUCGGAAUUAUUGGGCGUAAAGAGCUCGUAGGCGGCCAACUAAGUCAGACGUGAAAUCCCUCGGCUUAACCGGGGAACUGCGUCUGAUACUGGAUGGCUUGAGGUUGGGAGAGGGAUGCGGAAUUCCAGGUGUAGCGGUGAAAUGCGUAGAUAUCUGGAGGAACACCGGUGGCGAAGGCGGCAUCCUGGACCAAUUCUGACGCUGAGGAGCGAAAGCCAGGGGAGCAAACGGG
rnacentral:rRNA from 1 species